UAAAAGGAGUUGGAGAAACUUUGAUAGUUCCAAGUACCAGACUCCACAUGGUAUCGAUAAUAUGUUGGACCGCUUGAAAGAAGAAGAGAUCGAGUUAAGAAGAAGAAAAGUAGGAAUGUUGAAUCGAAGAAUGAUGAGGAAAACCUACGAGGCGUUAGAUCCAUUCCAUCCAUUCGCUGAGGCAUUUUAUCAAAAUGAGACCCGUCGCAUGUAUAAAGAACCAGUUGUUAAGAAAGAAUCUAAGAGAAAAUCAAAAAAAAAAUCCAAAAGAAAUCGGAAUUUUGACGAUGGAGACUACAGUGAAGAUACUAACACUAGAUCUUAUUGUGAUGUUUGUUGUGUAAAAGUUGAUGAGCCACUCAGUGAACAUAAUCUGAAUGAUUUUCAUAUGAUAAAAGUGGAGAUAUGUGAACAAGGAUGUCCAUAUUGCUUUGUAACAAAGUUCAAUAAUUUUAAUCAAUUUGGCCAUCACAUACUUGAGAGAUCACAUUCAGAUAUCAUGAAGUUAGCU